rnacentral:rRNA from 1 species
AUGCAGUCGACGAUGAAGCCCUUCGGGGUGGAUUAGUGGCGAACGGGUGAGUAACACGUGGGCAAUCUGCCCUUCACUCUGGGACAAGCCCUGGAAACGGGGUCUAAUACCGGAUAACACCGGCUUCCGCAUGGGAGCUGGUUAAAAGCUCCGGCGGUGAAGGAUGAGCCCGCGGCCUAUCAGCUUGUUGGUGGGGUAAUGGCCUACCAAGGCGACGACGGGUAGCCGGCCUGAGAGGGCGACCGGCCACACUGGGACUGAGACACGGCCCAGACUCCUACGGGAGGCAGCAGUGGGGAAUAUUGCACAAUGGGCGAAAGCCUGAUGCAGCGACGCCGCGUGAGGGAUGACGGCCUUCGGGUUGUAAACCUCUUUCAGCAGGGAAGAAGCGAAAGUGACGGUACCUGCAGAAGAAGCGCCGGCUAACUACGUGCCAGCAGCCGCGGUAAUACGUAGGGCGCAAGCGUUGUCCGGAAUUAUUGGGCGUAAAGAGCUCGUAGGCGGCUUGUCACGUCGGGUGUGAAAGCCCGGGGCUUAACCCCGGGUCUGCAUCCGAUACGGGCAGGCUAGAGUGUGGUAGGGGAGAUCGGAAUUCCUGGUGUAGCGGUGAAAUGCGCAGAUAUCAGGAGGAACACCGGUGGCGAAGGCGGAUCUCUGGGCCAUUACUGACGCUGAGGAGCGAAAGCGUGG